ACCCAACAUGAGAAUAUUAAUUACAAAGGGAUUUAAUCUGAAUCAAACCAAAACAACAACUUAAAGUCCAAGUGCAGCAUGAUUCCCAAAGCCCAACAAUCCACAACUGACUACAACAUGAUAACUUCAUUAAUCAACAUCAGCUAGCCUAACUACAUUUGAAUCAAAUUUUUAACAGAUAAACAUCAUAAAAGAACAAAAUUAUUGACAGAACUCAACACUUCCUUUCAUUCCACCUUCAAAUUGACUUUACAUCAUGAAAAAUGCAGAGUUUGUACCUGGAAAAUGAGAAGGAAAAGGGUGAUUACUGUAAGCAAACAAAAGCAGCAGCUCUCAACACCCCAAAGAUGAACCAACAGACUAAUUUUGAAACCAAAAUGCAAUGCAACAAUUCAAAUGCCAAUUUCAGUCUUAAUGAAUCAACGAACCCCUAAACGAUGAAUCAGGAAACAAAAAUUGAUUUUAAGAGUGAAAAUUCUUCAUAUUGAGAGUUAAAUUUCAAUGGAACAGUAGUAGCCCCUUUCUUUGAUUUUCAGCCCUUAAAACCGUUGAUGAAAGAGUAUUUUCUAUAGCCCUCUAUGUUUCUGAAUCUUUUAG
rnacentral:lncRNA from 1 species